GGCGAGCGCUGAGGUGCAGCUUCGGCAUUGUGAGAUGCGGUUCCGUUCACAUCUCCAUGCAGUAUGGGGGCUAUGGCUUGGAAUCCAGCAAACUCCCACCUCGCAUCUCUAUAUUCCAGCAAGCAUCACACUUUGCAUUCCCAGGUUCUGCUAGAGAGGUUCAGUUGUGUUUGUUGUGUUGUUUUCACUUACUUUGUUGUCUUGUGCAGUUCGCAGAUUCUGCUAGAGAGGUUCACUGUCUUCUACGCAUUCCCAAUAUGGACUAUCAUGCAGUACGCCGGUCCAUGGUGUGAGAUUCACUGGGUGCAUGACUGGAGUGCAGUUGACCCUCGUGUGGUGCAGUGCAGUUUGUAGUUUUUUUGUGUCUUUAGAAUUGUAGUGAAUUGCAAUUUGACUGAAUUUAUCCAGUGCAAAAAAAUUGUUAAAUUUGGUAUAGUGGACGACAGUGUGUGUGUGUGUGUGUCAGUGUAGUGCAGUUUGGCUCCAGUCUGGGGCGCUCCUCUGGUGCGGCGUCGGCCAGUUCGGGAGGCAACGGGAAAAAAAACUCGGGUGGUGUAGUUCGCGAGUCUCCCAUCUGCAGUACCCAUGUCUUCAGUAAAUUUGUUUGAAGAGAGACAAAAGAAUGUAGUCCACUCCAUUUGUGUAGCAGCUCGUUACCCCACUGUAUGAAGUGCAAUUUGUUUCGUGUGUCUUAGAAUUCAGUCGACUAUGUCAACACUUGCAGUGCGUUUGACCCUCGAAUGUGGAUUACCUUUACCAGUGAUGCUGUUCACUUGCGCCAAAUAUGAAGUGUGCGAUUUUUUUAAAACAAAACAAGAAGAUAGCAAUGAGGUUCAUUUGCCCUCGUCUCUAUGGUCCACUCUCGUUCAUAAAAAUUGUUGAAAAAAGACAACAAAAACUCGUAUGGGAAAAUUUAUGUCCCACAAAAAAAAUCAUGCAGUGCACUUGUCGGUCUGAUGAAGUGUGGCUUUUAGUCUAAAGAAGUGCACUCCACCUCGUUUGGUAAAAUUUAUGUCCCAUAAAAAAAUCAUGCAAUGCACUUGUCUGUCCAAUGAAGUGCGAUUUUUAGUCAAAAUAAGUGACGUUUUCUGUCUGAUGCAAUACGGCCCGUUUACGGUAUAGUCUCGAGGUUCACUUUUCAUAGUCUUGGGGUUCACCAACACUUGACAUGAAGUGCACUCCACCUUUUGUUUAGGAAAAUUUACGUUCCACAAAAAAGAAAUCAUGAAGUGCACUUGUCGGUCGGAUGAAGUGCGGUUUUUAGUCUGAAAGCAGUGCUGUUUUCUGUCUCAUGCAGUACAUACGACGAUUUUGGGUCGCGAAAAAAUAGAGUGUCCGCAUUUCGUUAAAAUCAAAAUUGCGCUUCAGCCGUAAGGAAUCAGAGAGAGUGUUCUACAUGAAAAAGUUGCGCCUCAUUGAUAUCUUUCUAAUGGCGUAUAAUUCGAAUCAUUUUGACCAUCGGUUUGCAAAAAUUUCGCGAAAAACGGCCGAUGCCUCCCGUCGUCAGCCGCACGAUUUUCAAAAUUAACUAAAAACCAUAAGGAAUCUGAAACAUAUUCCAACAUACGAAAGUUGCGCCUUGUCCAUAGCUUUCCAACGGCGUAUCAUAAUCCUCGUUUCGGCAAAUGGUUCAAAAACUGGAGCUAAAACAGUACCGAAAAUUUGAAAAAAUUCAAAAAAACGUAAUUCCACGAUUUAGUAAAUUUGUAACUGCUCUUAAACUAUAAUGAAUUAGAAAAAAAUAAUAGAUAUGAAAAAGAUGUGCCUCGAUGAUAUCUUUCCAACUGUGUAUCAUUUGCUUUAUUCCGAUGAGCGGUUUAGACAAAAUUGCGAAAAUACGCUUGCUGCCACUCAUCAUUCGCCGCACCAUUUUUGAAACUACUCUUAAACCGCGAGGAAUCUCGAAAAGUGUUCAACAUGAAGAAGUUGCGACUAAUCCAUAGCUUUCCAAUCGUAUAUUAUACGUCUCGUUCCGAUGAACGGUUAGAAAACUAGAGCAAAAACAGUACCGAAAAAACACUGCAUGCAGUUUUUUACGACACGAAGUUCACUAGUGUGUAUUGCAGUGCCCUUGCUACAGAAUGUGCAGUGCACUUGCGUUGAGCGUGCAGUGCGGAAGUAUUAUCAGAAUAGUUGUUAUGCUAAUAUUAGCAGAAUAGACCGGUUGUAUAUAUNNNNNNNNNNNNNNNNNNNNNNNNNNNNNNNNNNNNNNNNNNNNNNNNNNNNNNNNNNNNNNNNNNNNNNNNNNNNNNNNNNNNNNNNNNNNNNNNNNNNNNNNNNNNNNNNNNNNNNNNNNNNNNNNNNNNNNNNNNNNNNNNNNNNNNNNNNNNNNNNNNNNNNNNNNNNNNNNNNNNNNNNNNNNNNNNNNNNNNNNNNNNNNNNNNNNNNNNNNNNNNNNNNNNNNNNNNNNNNNNNNNNNNNNNNNNNNNNNNNNNNNNNNNNNNNNNNNNNNNNNNNNNNNNNNNNNNNNNNNNNNNNNNNNNNNNNNNNNNNNNNNNNNNNNNNNNNNNNNNNNNNNNNNNNNNNNNNNNNNNNNNNNNNNNNUAUAUACGCAUAACAAAAUAUUAUUCUGUUACCCUACUUGAACUGAUAAAUUCAACUGGUUGAACUGAUGAAAUUUGAGCGGUUGAACUGAUGCUUUCUGUUUGUGUUAAAAAUCGUCUUCUUUAGUUCAAUUUUUUUGCAAUUUUUUUGUCGAAACGGGGCAUGUAAUAUAUCGUUGAAAAGCUCUUGACAUCUACAUUACAAUCUUAUAAUUUGUUUUUGCAAAAAAUUAUGGUUUAAGAGCAGUUUUGAAAAAAAUCAUUUUUUUCAAAACCGAAAUCACGAAUCGUAUUUUAGACUUAAUUUUCAAACGGUUUAUCAGAAUUGAGAAAAUGAGACGGCGUUGGAAAGCUUGUGAAAAUCCGCAUCUUCCAUAUAUCUACUAUUUUUUUCAAAUUCUGUAUGAUUUAAAAGUAAUUUGAAAAAUGGUGAAAUCCUGGGCAAAACGUAUUUUCGCUGUCUUUUGCAAACGCUUCGUCGGAUUGACGCAAAUGAUACAUCGUUGGAAAGCUAUGGAAAAUGCGCAACUUUUUUGUAUUGAAAUGUUUAUCUAAUUCCUUAUGGUUUAAAAACAAAUUCGAAUACGGUCAAAUUUGAUUUCGAACGCGAUUUUUUAAAAAAGUUUGUCGAAAUUGGGCAAAUAAUAUACCAUUGGAAAGAUAUUGGAAAUGCGAAACUUAGUCAUGUUGAAUAUUUUCUCAAAUUCGCAAUCGUUGAAGAGUAAUUGUGAGUAUGGUGAGACUCAUCAUGUUGUUUUUUCCGGUCGGAAAACAGAGUACUCGUACUGAUCUAUUUGUGUGUUUGUACUGAGGUAUUUUUCACAGUAGUUUUGAAUGGUUCCGAAAAAAGAGUACUUGAACGGAUACCAGUAUGUUUUUGUACUGAGCGUGUUUUCACGUAGUAGACUUUACUCUGUAUUUUCCGGUAUGAUUUUCCUCGUAACUUCUCAAUGGUUUACGAUAUCAUCGUCCCUGAACUUGCAUGGUUUUAUAUCGUUGAACUGAAUGACAUUUUAUUUAAAGAAAAAUAUUGUGUGUUUCUUUUUUUCAACUCUAACGUUUUUUUCAACAUUGUUUUGGACUUCUCUCAUUCCGUGACUUGAACUUUCACCAUUUGAAUUUCCAUAGGGUUUCUUUUUGUUUGAGCUUUUUCCUAAAACUUAUCUCGGCUUCGUGUUGAACUUAAAACUUUUUAAAUUGUGAACUUAUUGUGUUUUUACAAUUCCAAAGCUAGCAAGUAGUAGGAGAUUUACCCAACAAAGGGGUUAAUUACAUGGAGCAGCCGCAGUAGUACCACAAUCUGAUCGAUAGCUAGCAGCAAUACCAGUGCUCACUAAUACACAUACACAUGAACUGAUAACCAACUUGCGCACGACCUGACAAACAAGAAAAUGCAUUAACUGACAAAAAGAACACAAUACACAUGAACUGAUAAUCCCCACGGCUGAUGACAGAGCUUUGUAGCAUCUAGGUUCACCCAUUUACUAAAAGUAGAACUUCUGAGUUUUAUCAAUUCAGGUGAUGUUUAAAUGCUCACCAUUUUGGCCUACAUCAGAAUACUCACAACACAACAAUAUGUGCUAAAGGUCCUGCAAUUAUAGAGUUACAGAACAAAUUCUUUGUCCAACGACAAUGUAAGAGUCAUGACCAGUAAUCACAAACAACACUAGCUCGACCGCCCAGCAUCUGCGUGCGGCGAGGGGAGGAGAUACUAUGAUGCUAGAUGUGUAGAGACAACAAGCUCACGCAUAGAAGACGAUGGACGACUCAUGCAGGAGGCCUCAAACUGCUCUCCUGUUGCCACCGAUGGCUAUGGAUCAUGCAAAAUCCUGACCAAAAGAUCACAUUUAUUUUCACGAAACUAAUCUCUUGUACUUGCUCUAAGAUAAUCUUCGAACCUCCUACAAGAACAAUCAUCAUUUUAAAGUCCACAUGAAUACCUACAAGAAAUGAUCACAAACAUUUACAGGACAUUCUUUUAAAGAGCUAUGCAAGAAUAAUUAAAAUAGGGUGAAACAAAUAUCAUCUAGAUUCUAGCAACAGCCGUUUUGCAUGAUCAUUGACAUUUGGAAUAGCAUCCAACAACUAUCAGAGUUCCGUAAGACCACAUUUGUACUUACUAUGACGAUGUACUUGUGCUGCGCAAAAACAUACAUGUAAGCACAAAAUAAACAUUUAAAUACAUUGGUGCUCACAUGAAUAGUCACAAACACCUAAAGAGCAUGUUUUUUUCACAUCUUCCCAACUACUCAGUUAGCAGAAUACCACAUCUAUGCAUUUUAAUAGCAGGAGCAAAGAAAGAGAGAGAGAUUGUUGUGAGAGAGUGCCAUUGACGCACACAUAGGACUACCAUCAGCGCUCAACUUGGACGGCUGCCAUCAACCAUGGUGGACGGCUGCCACCAAAAAAACAAAUUGCAAACUACACAACUACGAAUAGGCCAAACCGGUAAGCACAUCAGAAUCAUAAGAAAUCCCACCAGGUACAGGCACACCCUCCUAUUCACAACUCUGAAGUAUUGAUGAACCCUGUUCUCAAAGAUAAUGCCAUAUUGUGGGAUCAUUUAAGUGCACAACUAAGAGCACUAUGAGACAGAAAUAUUGUACAACUACAGCGACAACUGCAAAAAAGUACAACAUUGGUAAAAAAAUAGAUUAUUUGUGACAGCAGGGCAGAUGGCAACUUGGUUAUUCAAGUUCCAAUUGCUUAAAUCAGACCGUUCUAGCUUAGAAUCUAGCUAACACAAAACAAAUCUGAAGCAGUCGGCCUAGCCACACCCCCAACAUAACUAAUUCCACCAGAAGAGCCAUUUGCAACCUACAUGGCCUUCGCUCGACCAAGAUCUUAGCAUUCCUCACACGGGAUCCAGGCACUGGAGCAAGAAGUGACAGCUUGCCAAAGUGUGAGGAGGGGAUCGUCCGGCGGCGUAUCAAGGAGAGAUUGCGGUGGCACGCUGAGACCGUGAUGCGGGUGCCCCUAAACUGAUGUGAAUUUUCUUGCGAAACUGCUAUGCAAUCAUGCAAUGAGUGAGAUACCAUAUAAUAUAAAGUCGAGCUCUCUCUAACACACAUCAAAAUAUAUUUUUACGGUUGUUCUGUAUGAACUAAUGAGAAAAUACACAUUGAACUGAUAAUAAUAUAUUAUUUUCUCAUAUAGGAAACAUGUUCUUCGCCACAAGAACUGAUACUCUAACACACAGAGAAUUGUUUCCAUGCUAAGAACGGAGGAUAAAAUAAAUAGUGAUUUUCUAGGGUCUCAUUGCAACCUUGCUUCCUAUUCAAUUAAGGAUUCAUGUGACACUUGCUUACCCUUUCAUCAGUACUAGUACGACUCAACAAUAAGUUCGGAAUUGUAGACGACAUCCUUGUCAGUACGACUCAUCAAUACUAUAUGGAUGUUAGUCUUAACACUAAGAAUAGUACUGAUCAGUACUAAUAUUUUGUGUAAGUUGUACUGAUCAGUACUGCUACUUGUCGUACUAAUGAGCAGUACUGAUCUAGCUAACACAAAGAUUUUUUUCAUCUAGUGGAUUUUUAACAUUAUAUUAGAAAAAGAAAUCUAGAGCAAUUAUCUUGUAUAACCAACAAACAAAUAUAGCGGAGAAGCUGCAAACACAACCCGCAAUCAUCAACUGAAGUUGUGUUCUUACUCUGACCAAGUUCAGUUUUCUUCAGAAAAAUGGAUGAAAAAUAGCAUUGGCUUUGCCAUCAAUUUUUAGCAUGUAUGGGGACGGACAGGUGAUGAGAGGAUGGACCUUCUAAUGGUGGAGAAGAACUACAAUCUGAGGGGUGGCAGGAGACGUACUAGUGUAGGACGCUGUCGAUGGUGCAGCGUUGUCCAUGGAGAGUCCUUCCAGGUGGCACUCACUAUCUCAAAUCAGAAAAAGACCGAUGACAAUGGUGCGUGAACCAGUACGACGGACGUUGGGCACGAACCAGGACGCCGGCUACCGGAUCGUUAAACGGAUCGAGGGUGCCAUGCACGCAGCCCUUUUGGUGAUCGACGACGGAGCAUGUAGUUGUACUGCCGAGAGGAACAAUCUCGACCCCGCGGCUCCCUCCUGCAGCCGUGGGUGGCGUGUGGGAGGGAGGCGACAAAUGGUGGUGCGGGGAUCUGGAUAUGGCCGGCGGUGCGUGAUUUCGGGGAUGGCCGGCGACGCGUGGACCUGGGGGUGGGCAGCGGCGCGCGGACCCGAGUGUGGGUGGGGCAAGCUGGAGGAAGGAGGACGCCGACAAUGUGGAAGGAGAAGGCUGGUUGGGCGGCGCAGGACGACAACAAACGCAGUGGCGGUGGUGCGUGGGUAGGGAGGGGCGAGCGGCCGGUGGCGAGAGCGCGUGGGGAGGGAGGGGCAGCCGUCCGGCACCGGUAGCGCGCUGGUAGGGAGGGGCGGCCGGCCGGCGGCGGAAGCGCGCGGGUAGGGAGGGGCGAGCGGCCGGCGGCGGCAUCGCGUGGGUAGGGACUAGGAGGGAGUGGUUCGGGGUAGGCUUUGUUUUGUUCUUUUAGUUUUUCCAUUCGGGUGGGGCGGCCGGUCUAUCGAGAUUCAACCGGGCCUAUAUAGGGGCCAAGGGUAACAGCAUAAUAUUCUGUUACCUGUAACAGAAUAGCCCUGUCCUAUAUAUAUAUAUAUAUAUAUAUAUAUAUAUAUAUAUAUAUAUAUAUAUAUAUACUUCUGCACUGCACGCUCAACGCAAGUGCACACCAUUGCUUGAACCAAGUGUGCUGCAGUACUCACGCGAGUGAACUUCCCGUCGCAAAAAACUGCAUGCCGUAUUUUUUGGGUACCCUUUUUGCUCUAGUGUUUUAACCGUUUAUCGGAACGAGGCGUGUAAUAUACCGCUCAAAAGCUAUGGAUUAGGCACAACUUCGCCAUGUUGAAUACUUUUUGAGAAUCCUCACGGUUAAGAGCAGUUUUGAAAAUGGUGCGGCCCACAACGAGUGGCAGCGAACGUUUUUCGUGUUUUUUUCUAAACCGCUCGUCGGAAUGAAGCAAAUGAUACACUGUUGGAUAGAUAUCACCGAGGCGCAUCUUUUUCAUAUACAGUUUUUUCUCUAAGUCAUUACGGUUUAAGAGUAGUUUCAAAUUUACUAAGUCGCGGAAUUCUGUUUUUCAAUUUUUUUUCAAAUUUUCGGUACUGUCCAGUUUUUUAACCGUUUGUCGAAACAAGGUGAUGCGGAGCAUCCCACGCUCAUCCCCAUGUACACUCCGACUACUCCCCAAGCCCCAAGUGGACAUAUGACGAGACCUCGAGCUUACACCAUUGGACCUAAGGUGAACCCGUUCCUAAAUGCUUCCCCUUUCCACUUGUGCGAGACAUGGUUGCUACCUAAUGCAAAGACACUAUGUAUGCUCAGGAACCGAGGACCCCCGGACAUCCGGUGCCCCGCGACGGGCCAAACAUCCGACGCCUGCCCGGAAAUCCGGCGCCCGUUAUCCAGAGAGCAGAAGAAUUGGCCACUCCAGCCCGGACAUCCGGCGUCUAGGGAAGGCCCGGACAUCCGGCCCGACGCCCGGACAUCCGGCCCUCCUGCCUGCGUGCAGCGCAUCUGGGCCGAGUCCCAUGUACCCCUUCGCCCCUUAGACUAUAUAUACUCCCCCACCUCCUCCUAAUUAGGGUUAGCAUUGGUUUAGCUCAUAUUUUGUGUGAGAGCCUUGCUCAUCCACUUGGUUACUUCUCCUCAAAGCUCACGACCUCUUCGGAGAAGAUCCCCCAAGCAAAUUCAAGACCCCUUCAAGGGAAGACAAUCAAGACCUCCUCACGGAGAAGAACGGCUACCUUUGUAUCUUUCCUUUGUUGUUUUUGAAUCAUGUGCUACCUCAUGUGUUCGUGAUCUAGCCCUUGUGUGAUCGAUACUUGUCGGUUGAGUGAUUCUCUCGUUCCUCCCCAUGUUUUCCCCUUUGUGUUUUCCGCGCGUUCUUCUUGUUUCCCCAUAGGAUCCACUCCAAAUGUGAAAGAUCGGUCCCUAGGGUUCCGCCCUACAUCAUCUUGGUAUCAUGAGCCACGUUGAUCACGUUUCUGGAGCCCCUACCCCUCUUUUUCUAGCUUGAUUUUGUUGAUUUCGUCCUAAAACCGAAAAUCCCCACCAAAAAUAGCCCCCAAUUUUGAUUUGUUGGUUUGAUGAUGUUUUGUUGAUUUCGAUCCGUGGAUUUGCUUGGUUUCAAGUGGAUCUAGCUUUCAACCAAGUUUCCCCACAUUCCAUCCACGAAAUCUCUCCAAUUUUGCCCCCGAAAUCAUCAAUUUCCGCCCCAAAAUGGAGUUCCUCGAGUUCAUCCUAGGAUUUGGAGCCCAGACAUCCGGCCCGACCACCGGACAUCCACCCAUUAGCCCGGACAUCCAGCUCCUGGAGUGCAUUUUCGCACAAGUUUCUGGACAUCAGGUCCCGGAAAUCCGGCCCGACCCCCGGAUGUCCGGCCCUGGGAUUUGAACCUUUUCUAUUUCACCGUUUUGACCAUAACUAAUUCAUCCGGAGUCCGUUUUUGACGUUCUUUAGCUUGUUUUGAAGCUAUUGACAUCCCCCAUCCCAAAAAAUACCACCAUCAUCAUUUGACUCCAUCAAAUUUUUGAAAAUUUGGCAAGUUUGCCUAGGGCUUCCACCACAUCAUCCGCAUAGCCACCACCGACUUCCGCAACCUAACCCAUUUUGGUUGCCAUAGCAUUAGUGAUUGCUUGAGUAGUGAUUAGAGUCUCCUAAGGUGUUUUGGCUACUUAGGGACAAUUACUUCUUCAUCAACAACCACCACCACUUUCGCAUAGGCUUGCCCACCAUACACUUCCGCCACCGCAACUUAACCCAUUUUGUUUGUGUUAUGAGUUGUGUCUCCUAAGGUGUUUCGGAUACUUAGGGACGGCAACUUCUACUUUGACACGUGUAUAGCCCGUCAUCCCACUUCCGCAUUGCCAAGUGCAAACCACCACCGCUUUCCGCUACCACCAUUUUGACAUUUGACGUGUGAGAUUUUGAGUUCGCGGUUUUUCCGGUUCCUAAGGUGUUUCGGCUACUUAGGGACGAGUCUCCAUCAUCUUGGUUUCUACAUCAAGAACACCGCUACUCAUCAUCGCCGGACGGUAACCUCCAUAUCAUCUUGGUAUUGUGGUACCCCUCCAUUGUAUAUUCCCCUUGCCAUUGCAUUGUUAACCCCUAGCCCAUUUUGCAUUAUUUGCCUAUCGAGACUAGCCAUUUGAGUAUUGCCGGCGACGUUACUUGUGCACAUUAGUGAUCCAUACUUCCCAUAGAAUACAUACCAUAUCAUCGUGGUGCAUAUAUUGGUAUCAUAUCAUGUGUCACGAGUUUGUUCCCGCAUAUACACAAUUGCUAUCUUGGUUUGUGCAUUGUGCAAAAGUGGCCAUACAAAAAAAGAGAGAAAUAAAGCUUUUAAGCAAAAGAAAGAGAGCAAAGAAGCUUGUAAGCAAGUGCCAUAGCAUCAUACGACAUUGCAUAUAAGAUUGUCAUAUCCGGUCAUCUUGGAUCAUCUUGAGAGAAACACCGGGAACCAUACAUACAUAGCACACUUGGGAUAGAAGUUUAUCCAUUUUGCAUAUCAUAGGUUGUGCACAAGUGUCGUAUCCGCCUAUAGAGCAAUCAUGCUAGCGUCUCUCUUGAAUUGUGCAACACGAGCAUUCUCCGUGGAUUCCACAUUUUGUGCUCAUUCCUUGGUUGCACGACCCCAUUUAUCUAUCCAUGUGUGUGUUUCCGUGAGCCAUUCAUUGCUAUUGGUCUACUUGUUUCGCUUGCGAAUUUGUGAAUCUCUUUCAACAUUAUUGACUCUUGCUAACAUUUUGCAUCAAAUUUUUGUGCCACUAUCCUCACCGAGCUCCACCAUAAGCUUUACUUGUGUAGGUGUGAGAACCGACAAGGAUUGGUACCAAUAGUGCUAUUUCAUUGUCCGCAUUUGAGUGAACUUGAUUCAUCGUCAACAUCGGUGAAGGUACAUUGGUAUAAGUUCUUCUCUUUCUCCCACUCAUAUAUGCUCGAGUCUUGUGAUGGAUAGGCAAGGCAUUUCAUCUCCGAUCUACGACAACAAUGAUGGCAUGGACAACUACAUCAAAAAAGCAUCCAUCUUCGAUCUACAACGACAAAUGCAAGGCGCACAAUCAAGAUUGCGAGAGCGCAUCAAGACCAUCUCCAUCGACAUUUGUCACUCCGAAGCAAGGAAAAGGGACUACAUUGAUAAGAAGCUUUCCGCACAUAAAUAGGAGCAAGAUGCAAGGAUGGAGGAGAUUAGAGCCUUGAUCAAGUCUUCUUCCCCUUCGUCAUCUUCAAGGCGGCGACAUUCAAGCCACAAGUCUUUGGAGUGCGAAAAAGAUGCAAGUGCAAUUCGUCCACGUCCACAUCUUCAUGAUGACCACCGUCACAAUCGUGAUCCACAUCGUCAUGAAGGGCAAGUCACCUCCAAGAAACAUGUGCAUGACGACAACGAACGCCUACGAGCUCAAGCACGACAACGACAUCAUCAUCAUGAAGAUGCUCCACCAGCGCAAAUGCACAAGUCCCAACAAGACCUACUUCACGCCAAGUCAACGCUUCAUGAGCACAAAAGAGACCGCGAGAAGACCACCACCAAGACGGUGCUACAGCUACAACAACCACUUCGGCAUCUUCGCCAAGUGCUAUCAAGGCUUCUUCGCCUUUGGACGUACGACAUCUUCGCCUACUUCCCAUGAGUACGCCUACAACGACUUCAUCAAGUCCAAGGCGACCACCUACGAGCGAGGGCGACACUUCCAUCUUCGGAAGCCCCUCAAGGAAGAUGGCCGAGCAUGGGAAACUCCUUUCGGUCAUGGAGACGAGCUACGAGGUGCCACAUCAUAUGGGCCUCCAACAACAAGACAGCGACAAGAAGGUCGAGCAAGGGCCAUCCCCUUCGACCACGGCGAUAGGAGUUGAGCAUGGAGACAUUUGCACCAACAUCUCUCUGACACCCACAUAUGUUGAGAUGCCCCAUUUAUCAUGUGAGGAGAUCCACCACCACAUGAGUGACAUGAGUGACUCCACCAUAUGUGACAUUGAGAGCAUUCCCUAUGAGAGGAUGAGUGUGACCACCACUAGCCCCACAUAUGAGAGCAUGCCACACAUCCUAUGUGUGGUUGAGAGCCAUUUGAGUGAUUCCACCAACCAUAUGAGUGAGUGCAUUAUUGAGGGAGUGAGUGAGCCACAACACGUAGUGAGUGAGGUAGUUGAGACGGCAUGUGAGGCCACUAUGAUUUCUAACGACUUAACCUCUACUCCUAGUGUGUUUUCUACUUUGGUGAUAGGUCUCCUACAUGACGACAUGCCUAUCCUCGACGACUCCAUACCUCCAAUGGACAAACCGAUGGCGAUGGUGGACGAUGAUGCACCCCCACAUGGUUCCAUCAAGAUGUAGAUGACAACGAGUGGAUCUUCAACACCUCACCGACAACACAUGAGCGAUGCACCAAAGGUAACAUAGGUGAUGGUACUUCUCUUGUCCCACUAGUGGACUAUCUUGACAUCGAUUGCUCCCAUGAUGUUGACACACCUAUUGCCAUGCUUCAUGCUAAUGAGACUUCUUCAUGCCUUGACUUACCUAUUUAUGAUGAAUAUGAUGAUGAGCAUGUUGAGUUGCCUAGUUGUGAUGCUAUGCUCCAUAGGAUAUCAUGUGAAAAUUCUUUUGGUCACAUCAUGUUUGACAAUCCAUUGAACUUGUCAUAUGCUAUGAGUGAGAUCUCCCAUAUUGCAUCAUUUAAAUCUCAACAUAGUAACUAUGCAUGCCCCAUUAAAACAAAUCCCAUUUGCACUUAUGGCAUAGAUGACGAGAUGAUGGUCAGUGGCUUUUGUUUUUCAUGUGAUGAUAUUGCCAUGCUUCCUUUACAUGAUUUGCGCAAUUCAUCUACUAUGCCAUGCCAUGAUCACAUUGCACCAAAUAUGCUUUAUUUUGGAUGUUGUCAAUAUUCUCCAUGUGAUGUUGCUACUCAUGCUCAUGAGGAGACCCCCGUAGUUUCCUCAUACAUAUUAGGAGAUUUUGUUGCAUUCCAUACUUUGUAUGAUUCCCAUGAUAGUGUACACCAUAUGCAUUCCAUGAAUAACAAUGCUCUAGAUAUUUCUCAUGAUGCAUUACAUCCUUUGAGUCUCCAUUAUGACAUACAUAAUAACAAACCUCUCAUGAUGGAUGACAUGUUUCUAUAUCACGCAUCUCAUUUAUUUGAGCAUUGGAUAUUUUGUGCUAACCGACACAUGCCCGUGCGCAUCAUGACGGAUGAUGUGUACAUAUACCAUGCACACACAAUUUUCUCUUUGUCUUUGUUUUGUGUAGGUACUCAUGUAUACUCGUCAACCUCUCAAUCCCAAGAGUUGACAAAACGAGCUCUUGAGAGCAACGAUGCUUUGGGAUCCCGUGGACUAUCCUUACUACCAUUCCCUUCGCGCAAGGACUACGCACAUCUCUUUUACUUGGCUCUCACACGGCUAUGGGCUAUUUACCACUUGUCACCUUAUGCCCAUACUAUCGUGUUCACUUUGCAUGUUAUGCCUCUUUACAUGAUUUUGCCAUGCAACCGUGACCCUUGCUUGCAUAUACCCAUGAUUCACCAUUAUGCUACUUCCAUGUGCAUUUGCAUGCUUGGUGGAGAUCCUUCUUGAUAUUGCCAUGUUUAUCAUGUGCCCCAUGCUAUUGAUGCUUGUUGUGUUGGGAGAGUCAUGAUGCCCCAUUGCUAUUUACAUAUGGCCUCUCGCCAAUACAUUCGUGCCAUUCUACUCAUACAUUGCUUUCAUGCUUGUGAUAUGUCAUGUGCAUUAUUUAUGCCCACUAUUUGCACACAUGACAUGCUUGCCAUUAUUCCCUCUAGUAUGUUGCAUCUUUGCACUACUAGCUUGCUUGACUUGAUCGCUAUGAUUGCUUGCUAUGUUGCAUCACCCAUGUUCCACUACUACUCGCUUUCUUGGGUUGAUGACAUAUAUUUUCAUGCCUCUCACAUGAUAUAUCUUGUUCAUUGUCUCUUGUUUCCAUUAGUUGCCUCUCUCAUAUCCACUUGUAUUGAGUGCAACCAUACUAUGCUUAUUGAUCUUGGAGACUUUGACAACUUACUUGUGAUGCAUGCUUGUUUGAUUGAGCCUCUUGUAUUUGGUUGUUCUUACAUCAUAUGGCUCCAUACUAUGAAAUGCUCCUUUGUCCUUUAUUAUGAUGAGCAUUAUGCAUACACUUGUUGGGUAUAUUACCACCCGAAUGAUAGGUUUUUCAUGUCCGCUAACCUCAUUUGUUUUUCCGAGUGUUUGUCAUGUUAUUUUGUUUUGAAGGAUCCACAAGGCAUUACCGUCAUGAGACAUAUUGGCUAUGUGAAGGCAUACAUGAUGUGCGACACCAACAUUUUCGACAUCCUCAUAAAGGUAAACUCCUUCCCUAUGAGCCAUCCUCAAAUACGCAUAUUGGAUGGGUCAUUCUUUCAUUGUUGUUUCCUUCUUGUUGUCUACAUGAUACAUCUCACGAACGGAGGAGCGACAUUGGAGAUUGGCUCUAUGGACCUUCAAAUUGAGGAGCACUCACACUUAUUGGAUGCACCUUCGAAACUCCACUCAUGCCUAGACAUCGAGCUUUGGUACACCAACACCUCCAUAUUUGUUGAUUGUGCUCAUACAUGUCAUGCUCGAUGGACAUAUCAUAGUCACCACAAGUUUGCACCCCAUGCAUGGAUUGACUCUCAUUAUGCUUGUCUUGUUGCAUCUAUUUCCAUGUCAUCCAUGAUAUAUGAGCUUGUGCACUUCCUUAGAAAAUUUGUUGUGAUCUACCUUGAUGGCAUAUUCAUACAUCAUGAUCAUAUUGCCCACCAUCAAUUGCAUGAUAACAUACAGACGUUGAGCAUCCAUUGCCAUAUUCAUGCUAUUGAUAAACCGUCUCACUAUGACAUCAUUUUGCACCGUGGUUGCAUUGAUCAUAUUUACAACACAUUUGUGUGCACAAUGAUAGCAUUUCCUCCCAUGAAUGCUUUACAUCUCAUUCUACAUCUUUUGGAUAAGCAUCUUGUGCCUUGCCAUGCACUAUCUUGCCGCAUGGACUCAUUCUUACAUGAUGGACAUUUUAUGUGCGCUAACCAUUGUAUUUCUGAGUGUCGCUUGUGCUUGCUCUUUUUGCAUGUCUAUCACCCUGGUGACACCUUGGACUACUUGGAUUGUGCCAUGUCUUCAACUUCGUCUAACUACAAGUCUGUCCACGACAACCGUUUCCAUGGUGAUGAGGAUUACGAUCCGAGGUCAGAUCUUUCCCAAGGGGGGGGGAGAUGAUGCGGAGCAUCCCACGCUCAUCCCCAUGUACACUCCGACUACUCCCCAAGCCCCAAGUGGACAUAUGACGAGACCUCGAGCUUACACCAUUGGACCUAAGGUGAACCCGUUCCUAAAUGCUUCCCCUUUCCACUUGUGCGAAACAUGGUUGCUACCUAAUGCAAAGACACUAUGUAUGCUCAGGAACCGAGGAGACAACCUUGGAGAUACUCGAAGCAUAGGACAAGUCCACACGGAAGUGGAUCAAUAAGUGCCUCAAGUGGAGUUGCCGCGGAGCUACAGCGGCCGGACAUCCGGCAGGAGCCCGGACAUCCGGCGCCACCAACCAGAAGAAGACCAGAGAGAGGCAGAAAUCGGGCGACUCUACAGCGGCCGGACAUCCGGCCGACCCCCGGACAUCCGGCGCCCCGCGAUGGGCCGGACAUCUGGCGCCUGCCUGGAAAUCCGGCGCAUGUUAUCCAGAGAGCAGAAGAAUCGGCCACUCCAGCCCGGACAUCCGACGUAUCGGGAAGGCCCGGACAUUCGGCCCCCCUGCCUGCGUGCAGCGCAUCUGGGUCGAGUCCCAUGUACCCCUUUCGCCCCUUAGACUAUAUAUACUUCCGCACCUCCUCCUAGUUAGGGUUAGCAUUGGUUUAGCUCAUAUUUUGUGUGAGAGCCUUGCUCAUCCACUUGGUUACUUCUCCUCGGAGCUCACGACCUCUUCGGAGAAGAUCCCCCAAGUCGAUUCAAGACCCCUUCAAGGGAAGACAAUCAAGACCUCCUCACGGAGAAGAACGACUACCUUUGUAUCUUUCCUUUGUUGAUUUUGAAUCUUGUGCUACCUCAUGUGUUCGGUGAUCUUGCCCUUGUGUGAUCGAUACUUGUCGGUUGAGUGAUUCUCUCGUUCCUCCCCAUGUUUUCCCCUUUGUGUUUUCCACGCGUUCUUCGUGUUUCCCCGUAGGAUCCACUCCAAACAUGAAAGAUUGGCCCCUAGGGUUCCGCUCUACAUCACAAGGCAUGUAAUAUACCGUUGAAAAGCUAUGGACGAGGAGCAACUUUUAUAUGUUGAAAUGUUUUUGAGAUUCCUUAUGGUUUUUAAGUUAAUUUUGAAAAUCGUGCAGCGGACGACGAGUGGCAGCGGCCGUUUUUUUUUUGAAAUUCUUACAAUCCGCUUGUCGGAGCGAUUCAAACGAUAUGUCGUUGGAAAGAUAUCGACGAGGCGCAACUUUUUCAUGUAGAACACUCUCUCUAAUUCUUUACGGUUUAAGAGGAAUUUUGAAUUUACCAAAAUGCGGACACUCUUUUUUUCGCGACAUCAAAAUCGACGAAUGAGCCGCAUCAGACGAAAAUUGCACUCCUUCAGACUAAAUACCGAACUGCAUUAGACGGGCAAGUGCACUGCAUCGUUUCUUUUGUGAGAUGAAAAUUUUCUCAGACGAAAUUGAACUGCUUCAGACUAAAUACCGCACUGCAUCAGACAGGCAAGUGCACUGCAUAGUUUCUUUUGUCGGAUGAAAAUUUUCUCAGACGAAAAUUGAACUGCUUCACACUAAAUACUGCACUGCAUCAGACGCGCAAGUGCACUGCAUCGUUUCUUCUAUCGGAUGAAAAUUUUCUCACACAAAAAAGUGGACCGCUCUUCACGUGUAAGUAAACCACAACACUAUUGAGAAGUGAACAGCAUUACUAUCAAGAAUGAGCUGCCUUAUCAUCUUUCUUUUAUGGAGCAAACCACCAAACCAUAUAUAAUGAGCUGCAUCAUUAGUCAACAUUUUUUUGUCACACAGUCCUUUUCUCUUCUUCAAUACUUACAACCAACCACAUAGUUUGGCAGAACCAGCUAUAUUGUGUUUCCAACAAUUGCAAACAGAAUUUGCCAGAGCAGCCAGACUACAUGGACGAGACUAGCUAACUUCUUUUAUCCAGGGCAGGAAAAGAGAAGUCUGGAGUGAACCACCAAGUUUAUUAUCGAACUUCAUUUUAUAAAACUUACAAAACAUAGCCCUGCAAAUUUACAUAAAACCCACUCAAAACUAAAUGAAAAAAGAAAUCAAAGGGAGCUGCAUCGUACACCGGUGGAGGACUGCUUUUGCCUGCACAAACAAUUUUGCCCGCUGACGGAUAUAACCUGAAUUUACAACAAAAAAAGUCAUAUGAUAUAACCUGAAUGCUGCACACACUUCUUGAAUCUUUUGCUCAUAAAAUCAUUUAACUAAUUGUCCAUGUAUUCAUGUUAAACCAAAUUCUGUGCACAAGUUCAGAGUAAGCUCAAAAUGCACUGCUCAAACACCAAAUCUCUUGCCUGUCAUAAGCUGCAUGCUGCUGUGAGGAGGAAUCGAGAUGGGAAAGGAAAUACAGGGCACCUGGUCGCCGGGUGGCCGCCAUGCCACCGAGCAGCAGAGGGAGCCGUCGUACACCAAGAAGCAGCAUGAGCCGCCCGGGUGCAGAGGGUAGCGGGCAGCAGCAGGAACUGCCGGGCCUCCGACCAGCAGCAGUAGCCGUCGGGGUGCUGAGCUGCAGUGCCGCUUCGUGUUCCUAGCUGCAUCAGUGCCUCAGUAAGAAUAUUGUAGAUCGUAAAUAGCCCUGCAAAUUUACAAACUGCUUUUGCCCGCACAAACAAUUUUGUGCGCCGACGGACUGCACCGACAAUCGAGACGACCUGCAUCGGGGAGCGACUUGUACUGCAUCAGUGAAGAGCAACACGAGAGGAGCAUAGGUGAAAGAGAGACGGGGCUAUUGUGCAUGCCGGCGUCACUGAACUGCAGGAGGCGUCAAUGUGCACACGACACUAGAGGUUGCAAUGUACUGCACCAAGAGAGAAAAAAGGAUGAACACAAGGUUUGGAAUCCACUCACGAAUCCCGAGGACGCCCGCCUCACAGCACAAAAGUGUACUGCACGGGAGUCGACGAUGGUCGCGUGUGCCUGCUGUGUGGACUGCUCCAGCGGAGCGACAAAAGCUCCCAGAGAGGAAGACCCAGCCGACCUACAUUAGGGAGCAGCCUGGACUGCUUGCCGUCAGUGGAGAAUCGCAAGGAGAGGAGCAUAGGACCGGGGAGGAAAAGGAGGAGGCUAGGGCGUCCCCUCGAUUGAGGCAACACGGAGUCAGGGAGCCUGGAGCUGCAAUCCCGUCAUUCACCAACUACACAGUCUCGCUGGCCAAACUGCACGGGGUCGAAGUAGUGAGAAUGAAGGGAGCCUGGGCGCGUCGGAUUUGGCCGAGAGGUGGAAGCAGCAGUCGUCAGGGUCGCCGUCGAUGGAUCCAUGGCGCGCCGAUGGAUCCGAGGAGGGGACGAGGUAGGGAGGCGGAGGUGGAGGUCGGUCCUCGAAUCCUGUCGCUUGGCGGCGUGGCGGGGCAAGNNNNNNNNNNNNNNNNNNNNNNNNNNNNNNNNNNNNNNNNNNNNNNNNNNNNNNNNNNNNNNNNNNNNNNNNNNNNNNNNNNNNNNNNNNNNNNNNNNNNNNNNNNNNNNNNNNNNNNNNNNNNNNNNNNNNNNNNNNNNNNNNNNNNNNNNNNNNNNNNNNNNNNNNNNNNNNNNNNNNNNNNNNNNNNNNNNNNNNNNNNNNNNNNNNNNNNNNNNNNNNNNNNNNNNNNNNNNNUGUCGCCUGGCAAAGUUGUAGCCGCGGCGGGGUGGGGAGGCGUUGUGGCACGGAGCUGGGGCUGGGGCCGUCGACGUCGGCAGUGGGGGGGAGGCCCAGGUGAGGAUCUGUGCGGCAGUGAGGAAGUGGAUCGGGGCGUGGCCGGGAUGGCGAAGGCGGGGUGGCGUCGCGGUGACUAGUAGUGGAUGGAGGAGGGGAGGUGGGAGGAGCCGGUGGUGGAGGGAGAGAUCCUGCCUUUUUUUUUGAGGUUGUUCGUGUCGGGCUAUCUCGGUGCCGGUGUUAGCAGAAUAAGGUUUUUGUGUGCAGAAUAAGAGUCUUAAGGGUGUUAGCAGAAUAUAUAUAUAUAUAGGACAAUUUUUUCCUACUGCCAGGUGUAGUUACUACAACUUUUGUUUAUACGUUCUAGGUAGUAUCUAUCAUAUCGGAGAGUAUGUACGCAUAGUAUGUAGUAUAUAAGAAUGUUUAGGUAGUAUAUAUACUACUUUGUUGGUAGUAUGUAUCAUAUAUUUUGCAUACUCUAUUUCGCGUAUAAAUAUGUAUGUAUUUCAGAAAUACAAUAAAACUAUGAGCUCACUUGCAAUUUUUUCAUAUAACUCACUUUGGAGUAUCUUAUAUAUAGUAUAUUAACAUAUUAAAAAUAAUAAAAUAGAGUUUAUACUACCACAUGGUAGUAUAUGAGAAAUGGGUGUAGCUACAUUCGGUAGUAGGAUGCAUUUUCCCUAUAUAUAUAUAUAUAUAUAUAUAUAUAUAAUUUAUAUAAAAUAAAAACACACGCGGUUUCAACCAUGUACAAACUACAAAGCAGACGCUACACAAGACAGAAAAGUCGCCUUUUAUACAAAUUAUCUACCUUAGAUAACACACAGUACACACCAUAAACCUAGCUCUUGUCCAAACGCAGGGCUUUAACCAGAAUAUCCCAAUGACUGUUACUGCGUACACGGCUGCGACUGCGACAGGGAAGUAAGCCCAAGGCUUGCAAUCAGAUCUUGUAGCUCAAGUGGCAUGUCUUCAUAAUACAACAUGUUCAAUGGAUUGAACAGCGGCUAGAAAAUGUAUGCCGCCUUCCAAUCUUAAACAAUAGGCUGAAAAAAAUAAAAAAUGCAGAUAAGUGAUUAAAAAGGUUGUGAUAAGAACAACAAAAAGUGAAAACAUUAAAAAACAGUAACAACAAGGACAAACAGAGAAACUAUUACAUCAGAUUUCACCAUUCUAUCGACUAGAUGCAUGUCGUCAUACAACUGCGUCAACCUCAGAACAUAGAUUCCGCACUCGUUUGGCCCCUGCUUUGGCACGGCCGGGCAAUAGGGCUUCUCUGCCAAUUUAACCCAGUCAGGUGAUUCUUAGAGGUAUACAACUUUUCACCAUAAAUCCUCUUCAACAGCUAAGUCAUCCUGCUCAUGUGGCAAAAGGGGGAAAAGCAACACAAAGUAAAAAACACACGUCACAGACCAAUAACCAUCAAACGAUGCAAAUACAAGUUCUUCACAACGUCUAGAUAAUCCCUCUUUUAAUGCAUGUGAGGUCAUUUCGUUUUAUCACUCUCUUUACCCAGGUUUGGCGGUGGGAGAAAUGUAGUUCUGUGCCACAGAUGUUGCAGUAUUAAGAAGUGUGGUCCUAUGUGUACUAAUAAUGUAGUCACUGUGCAGUUUAAAAAUAUAUGCAGUAGGAGAAAUACAAAGCUUUGCAGUUGGCUAAAAACAUGAUAUAUCACUUCAGUGCAAUAAGAGUGGAAGUCGCUCCUGUGCCACUUUGUCGUGUAAUCAGCAUGGCCAGUGUACCUCCUGGUGUCAUGGAUAUCAAUGCUCUCGUGAUGCCAGUUCAUCGUGUAUAGGGCAUAAUGUUUAUGCUUGGAGCGGGGCAUCAAAAUUUGUCGCAUAAAGAAACAAAUGAAAUGAAGUUCAUUCGACACAUAGCAUUAGGACCACUGCUUUAAAUAACUACAAAAAGAAAAUGCAAAAAAGAAAAAAAGAAAUGAUGGAAACAAUGGCCUUACUAGUUUUGCGUCCAACAGGUUUUCAUCGCCAACAGAAACCUUGAACCGCUUAACCGCAUCUUCUAAAACAAAUGGGCUAUGCACAACUGGCAACACAGGGUAUCCUUCAUCAUUUCUCCACACAAUGACUUCGAUUUGAAGAACUUACUGCAUAGAAAAAGAACAAAUGGGACAUGAAGAAAGAAUAAAGAUGCAUGUAUGCAUGGACAUAAAAAAUUCAUAACAAGAGGAAAAAAUGCACCAAAGCAAAAAAUACAUGACAACAGACACAUUUACCGUGAUAAAUAAAGGUGAAAGUAGCACACGUUCCCCAGAAUGACAAACUAAACUCAUUUCAGGAUCUUGCUUCCAGUACUUAAUGAUAUGAUCCAUGAGAUACGAGUCUAUGCAAGCUCCUUUGCCAAAUGUAUUAUAGAUAUAGUCAACUUUGACUAUUUGGACAUCACCAAAAGCAUUAUUCACCCUCAAGAAUGCGUUGCUGCAGUAAAGAUACACAAAUGGGAUCAGAAUAAAGAUUGAAACAAAACACACAAAAAGGAUCAAGGACAGACACAUAAACUUGUUGUAUUUGGUUAUAAAAUCUUGGCUGAGAACGAGAUCCUUUAUUUUCCUCACCUCAUCAAUAUAUUUGAACCUCGGAGGCCUCAAUUUCUCUAAAGUGUCUGUCAACUUAAAAGCCCUCUCACCUGCCCUCUUGUUAGAAAAUACUUGAGCCUCAUCAACGGGGGACGAUUGAUUGCUGCACUCCUAGUCCUAGUGACGCGUGGCACUGGCGUAAUAGAAUCAUCAUCAACAUCAACUACCUCAUGUAGAGCCAGGUCGAGCGACCUUUCCACCAUCAGGUCCAGAUGCCACAUCCAUGUUCAAACCAUCUCCAGCCAAAGAACCAUAAUUCUCUAGAGAGAUUUCAAUGGCACAAUCCUCCGUAACUACCUCUGAACCCUGGGACUCUAAACAGUGAUAUACAAUCUCCAUGAAGACCCCCAUCAAAACCUGAUAACGAGGAGAAAAAACAUGGGAGCACUCAGCCCAAAUACAAAACCAAAAACAUUAAAUGCAGCCCACUAAAAUAAAAAAAUGCAGUUCACUAAAGAACAGAGUGCAUCCCACUUGACUAGAACAAUGUAGCCACUUGCAUAAAACAAUGCAGCUUACUUGCACCGAAUAAUGCAACUCACUGGUCUACAACAAUGAAGCUCACUUACACAACAAUACGUAGCCCUCCACUGUCAAACACACAUUUCACUAGCACACUAAUAAAAUAAAACAUUAAGAAGCGGAAGCAGGCAGUAGACAAAAAUAAAUAAGGCAAAUAAAGCACUUCAUUAACACAACCUUUAUCUGCAAAUAUUAAAAGUGAUGAUAACUCAAGGGAACACUUUGUCGAUGUGAGCCAUCUAUGUAGCAUCGCCUUUCUGAUGUAGCCAAUGUGCUCCACCCCAAACCGAGCAACUCAAACACCAUCCCAAGUUUGCAAGAAUUGAAACACAUAGGUUCCACAAUCAUGCCUGUGAAAAAAGAACCAAAACAUCAGUUUCACAUAAAUAUAAAAGAACAGUUGAGGAGUAUGGUCGAGAGGGGCUACAAGGAACAUACCCAUUUUGUUGAAUUGGGACAACCACAUGUUUCAACGCAAAGCCAUCAAGUGUAGGAGGAUUUAGUGGCUCAUCUGAACUUGAGCUACCUUCUUUCCAUGCAUGCUUGAUAUUUUUAACCAUCCCCCUAAAAACCCUGUUUGCUUUAGAGUUGCCAGGUUUACUGAGCGAGUCAAGAAACUCAAACCGCAUUUCCUUCACAUUCAAGGCAACUACACAAUAAUGGCCAACGCCAUCCCUCGUGUCUGGUGGAUAAGCAAAUAGGACCCAUUGGAAGUAAACGUAAAUAAAAGUAUUACGAGAACAAGAAACAAAACACUGUAAAACCAACACAGAAAAAUGGUUUUAGACACAUAAAACAUUACUUAUCAUAUCUAUUUUAUCGACACAUUCCUCAGCUUUUGAAGAGAACAUCAAUUUCACACCCCUGCCUACACUAGCACCAUUCCAAAUACUUGUCAGCCAAAACAAACCAAAACAAGAAACAGUGUUGAAGCAAACAUGUCAUCACACGAAAACAGAAAAGACAAUCAAAUAACAAAUGAAAAGAUUUGCAUGCUUACAAAAAUAUGGUACAGGACAAACAUCGUCGGAGAUCCCUUAAACUUAUCUACUAGCAAAGAAACCCCUAGAUCUACAAGGCCUGUAGUGAGCAUCCAUUUAUCCCAAAAAGAUUGACCAACUUCAUCAAUGGUAAUAUCGGCCAACUCAGUUUUAAAAGCAAUCAUGUCCCUGAAUAUUUUUGAAAAACUGAAACAUAAGAUACUACAAAAAUAACAAGAACAAAAAGGGAAAAGACUCCGAUUAGAAAAUACAUGUUAACAAAACAAUUUAUAAAAAGCCAUACUUCACCUUUUUGUCCCUUAGAGCCCUAGUAAUAGCAGUGUACAACUCAUUGUAUGUUUUGAGAAGAGCUGGAUUAAUGCUCAACCGUGUCAGAACAAGAAGUUCGUCAUCUGCAAUCAAAAAAUAAGGAACAAAUAAAAUAUGAAGUUCACUUAUGUAAAAUAUGAAGUUCAAUUGUAAGAUAAGAAAAUGUGCUAGCUAGCAACUAUUUUGAAAAUCAUCAACAAAGAAGAAGUUCACUUAUCAUAAAAAAUCUGAUGCAGCUACCAUAGUAAUUAAAAAAUGAAUGAGAAAAACUUCAAUCACUGUUCAAAACUAAACACUUGCCUUCAGUGUUAGAGUCUUCAUGUUGUUUUUCUUCAGAGCUAACCAAAACAUUUUCUCGGCUAGGUUGCGACGAGACCAUGUGACGUCCCCGAUUUAAUUGUACACUAAUCAUACACAGAAAUGUGUACGAUCAAGAUUAGGGACUCACGGGAAGAUAUCACAACACAACUCUAGACACAAAUUAAAAUAAUACAAGCUUUAUAUUACAAGCCAGGGGCCUUGAGGGUUCGAAUACAUCAUCUCGAAUACAAACGAGUCAGGGAAGCAACAAUAUCUUAGUACAGACAUGAGUUAAACAAGUUUGCCUUAAGAAGGCUAGCACAAAAGCAACAUCGAUCGAGAAGGCAAGGCCUCCUGCUUGGGAGCCUCCUAUCUACUCCUGGUCGUCAGCGUCCGUCACGUGGUAGUAGGCACCCUCGGGGUAGUAGCAUCGUCAAAGGUGUCAUCUGGCUCCUGGACUUCGUCAUCUGGCUGUGUCAUCCGAGAAGAAUGGAAAAGGGGGGAAAGAGGAAGCAAAUCAACCGUGAGUAAUCAUCCAAAGUACUUGCAAGCAAGGAUCUACACUAAAUAUGCAUUGGUGUCAAUUGAAAUGGGUUGUAUCUGUGGACUGAACUGUAGAAUGCCAGAAGAUAAGGGGAAAAGCUAGUCCUAUCGAAGACUAGCAUCUUCUGGAAACCACCAUCUUGCAGCAACAUGAGGGAGUAGAGUAGUAUAACAUAAGUCAUAUUUAUGUUGUUGUAUCAACGCUCCGGGAUCCUUUCUCGACUCCCAAAGCAACCUAUCCAAAUCAUGCCUCGGCAUAUAGUUCUAGUUGUAUCGAUCGGGAUACAACUCCAAGUGUCCGUUACCGUAGGACAGGCUAUCGAUAGAUGUUUUCUUCCCUGCAGGGGUGCACCAACUUACCCACCACGCUCGAUUAACUCCGGCCGGAUACACUUUCCUGGGUCAUGCCCGGCCUCGGUCAAACAAUACGCUGCAACCCGACCUAGGCUUAAUAGAGAGGCCAAGCACGCCGGACUAAACAUAUGCCCCCAGGGGUCAUGGGCCAUCGCCCCGGGAACUCCUGCACGUUGCGAACGCGGCCGGUGAGCAGACCUAGCUACCUCCUUCAAAAAGGCAGGUGCUUACCAGUCCAACCCGGCGUGCACCACUAAGUCGCUGACAUCUAUUAAGCUUCGCCUGAUGCAUACGACGCAGAACACCCAUACUAUGCCCACGUGAUGGUUAGUGCUAUCAGGCCAGGGGCCCCUCGGAUCAAAUAUCCAAAUCAUAGUGGAUUAGGAAUGCGCGGUAACAAGGAAAGACUCAUGAAAGAUGUGACCCCGUUGCCCCGUCUCGAGGACUUGCGAUAAGGGCUAGGAAUGCCCGACCACACCUCAUAAUUAUCUUGCAGGCACCCUCCAGGUCAAGCCGUCUCCACAUCACUCGCGGGUACCCCUUAGGGUCGACCUGGCUUUUCAAGUAACAGUUGUAAUGUCCAAGUAUCCGUGUAUCCAAACAUCAAGGGGAAACCCCGAGGAAUCACCCCCGGUGAAUUCCACUCGAUGUAAUCAUCAAGGUGAACGUAAGAGGGACCACCCUCGAGGCACACACUUGAGGGGUUUUAUGACAGAGUCGUAUCGGAAGUGGUUAAAGAGGAAAUCACCCUCGAUGACCACGACCAAAUAGCUACACUACAGGGUUAACAUCAGAAGUGCUGAUGAGGCCUCACCCUCGGCACUCGAUAGUAACCCAGUAGUGUCAAGCAACUAAGGGGAACUGAUGUGCGGUGUUGGGGCCUGGUCUUUGAUCCCGUUGAUCGGGUCUUCGAUGAUGAAGCAGGGGCAACUAGGACAAGGUGGGGGGUCACUGAUGGAUCACUAACCAACCUAUACUAAGCAGUUUAGGAUAAGCAGGUAAGUAACAAUAAGCAUGUUACAAAAGCAGGCUAUGCAUCAGCAUAGGAGCAAACAAUAACAGUAGCAAAAUCUAAUGCAAGCAUGAGAGAAUGGAAUGGGCGAUAUCGAGAUGAUCAAAGGGGGGGGGCUUGCGUGGAAGCUCCGCCUAAAGGGAAGAAGUGUCAUCGUCGACGUAGUCGAUCACAGGGGCGGCAUCGGUCUCGGGGUCUACCGGAGAGAAGAGGGGGAAGAAACAGUAAAUACAGAGCAAACAAGGCAUCACAUGGAAAUACACAGAGCUAGGAGUGUUCUAAUGUAGUGCUGCACGAUACAGGUGAAGGGGGAAUUCAACCGGGAAUGUAUUCCCGGUUCCGGACCUGUGUCAGACAGAGGACCGGAGGGGGAAUGUUCCAUGUUCAAGUAGUUAGAGGCAUCUGACAGGUAAACGGACCGUGUAUUCGGAUUAGUCUCGUUUUUCUAAGUAACUUUCAUGUAGAAAACAUUUUCAUCCGAGUUACGGUUUAUUUUCUAUGAUUAUUCAAAGAUUGAAGGAUUUUCAGAAACUAUUUAAACUAACAAAAAUGGAAUUAUGACGUCAGCAGAGUGUCAGCAUGACAUCAGCAGGUCAACAGAUCAGCUGACCAGGUCAAACCUGACAUGUGGGUCCAGCAGGACCCACAUGUCAGCCUCUAUUAGAAAAACAGUGGAUUAAACUAAUCUUGUAGGAUUAAUUAGGGGUGUGGGCCCCGGGUGUUAGUGAGUGUUUAGGUUAAUCUAAUUAGUCUUAUUUAUAAAACGUUUAUUAGACUAAUUAACAGAAGGGGCCCACAUGUCAGUGACUGGGGGCUGCAUAGUAAACACAGUUGACCGGUCAACAGGCCGGCCGGGCCCCUGGGGCCCAUGGGUCAGAGAACCAGUGGGGUGGCCCCGGGCCGACGACGUCAGCGUGGGCAUCGACGUUUAACCGCCGGUGGCUAUAGCCACGGCGGAGGGUCGGGCGCGCGUCGGAAUCCAUCUAGGGGCGGCCGUUUCGUGAGCGGUUGGCACCAUUUGAACGCGUGGACGACGCCGAGUCGGGUGGUGGUGGUGGCUCACCCGAGGACGGCCGGAGAUGGCGCCGGCGUGGAGCACGGGCGGAGGUGGCCUUCUACGCUCGGCGGAGAUGGUGCUUGAGGACACGGUUCUUCGUGCGGAGUGGCUCUACGGGCGGCAGGUGCUCGCGCGCAUCCAUUGCCGCAGUCGGCAGUAGGCGGGAGGCGACGAGCUCGUCGGAGAAGAGCUCAUGGCAGCGGUCGGAUCACUAGCCCGUCGAGGACGGCGCCAGGAGGAGUGGGAGGGGUAGCGAGCGCGUGCAGCGAGUGCAGGCGGAGGUGCUGAGCAUGACGGGGUGGUCGGCGGCGAGCUCAGCGAGACGUGUCCAUGGCGGCGAGCACCACCGUGGCGACGAUCUCAGACAUGACGAUGGGAGCAGCUACAGGGGAAGAAGAGAAGCGUGAGGAGAGGGGAAAGACGCGUUGGCUCACCGGGAGCCAUAGGGAGGUGGUAGUGUGCUCGGGGAGGCGUGGAGUGUCCGGAAUUGACGGUGACAGACAGCGGCGAUCCGAGGAAGGAGAAGAAGAUGGCGGCGGCAUAGAGGCUUCCCGGCUCGUUCCGUUCGGUGUAGUCGAUGUAGUCGAUGUCGGGUAGGCGUUCAAGCACGUCGACGAGGCGAACAGGAGGCGGUGGCCGCGGAAUCAACGCAGCGAGGGCGGCGAGCCUGCUCGGAGGAGCUCGGGCAGAGGGGAAGAAAGAGCGAGGGAGUGGGAUGGCGAGGGGGGUCUGGGGGAGAGGGAGAGGCGGAGCGGGCGAGGGGAAGUGGGAGUGGCAGUGGAGGAGGGGACCAAGGCAUCGGGAGGCUUAUCCACCUCAACAACGGCGAGCGGGUGCGGUGGGGGCGCGCUCGGCGCGUGCACGGGGUCGAUGGAACAAUAGGGAGGGUAGAGCGACCGGGGAGGGGGCAUGGGCCGGCCUGCUAGGCCAGCUGGCUCGGGUGUCCGAAGCCCAAGUGGGGCAGGGGCUUUCUCUCCCACUCACGUCUUUUUUUUCUUUUAAUUUUUCUUUUGAAAACUUUUCUGUUUUCAUUUAACAAUAGCCUUUUACAUUUUCUUUUGCAAUAAUUACCUUUUGCAAAAAUGUGCCACUGGUGAAAACAAAUACUAGGGGAAGUGGUGCACUGCCACCAUAAGCUUGGGAUUUAUUUGAAUCCAUUUGGAAUUUUCCUAAUUGGAAAGGCAUUUAAAAUGUUGUUUUGCACUGUAAUAAUUGCUUCUGUCCACCUUAGCAUUGUGGUGAAGUUGUUUUCCCUUAACAAUAAAUUGUUUUGGAAUAUUUUCUAAAUGAUGAACAUUUUUCCAGUAACUUUGUGCAACUUGAAAUUUUCAAUUUGAAUUUGAACUAGAUUCAGAGAAGGAAUUUGAAAUGAGAAAUUAAUCCAAUGUGAUUAAGCUUUGUAAAUCAAGAUGACUUGGCAUUGAUCAUAAGGGAUUGCUGUAGUGUGAUGCUGGGGACGCUACGAACCACCACAACCUCACUUGACCGCCCUACUGUAGCAACUGGAUUUUCAAUAGUCCGAUCAACCACCAAUGUCCUCAUAUAAUUCAACUACAUGAGGCUCCACUCUGAAUACAUAAGGAACAUCAUUGGACGCCAGACAAACAGGAAAACCAGCAACACUACCAGCAGGAACGACAUUCUCCAGUGGCUUUUCAGUGUCAAUAUCAGAAUCUUCAUGCCAACUAGGGGCAGCAACAUGGUGGGAUUCCUAAGCUACAUAAAGUUCUGCACUAUCAACGGCAACCGAUAUAGAAGCAUUCACAUUGUCACCACCAACAACAACACAAUCCCCCUGGUUCAUAUCAACACGAACAAUGCCAACCGAUUGACGAACUUCUACGUUUACAUCUCCAGGCUGCAAAAAGUUCUAGAAAGCCACAACAACACAAAAGAGCGAGGGGAGAAUUAACCCAACAACACACAGUUCACUUAUGUCAAAGACUGUAGCCCACAUAUGCAAAAGAACUGCAAUUCACUUAUGUAAGAAGACUGCAACCCACAAAUGUAAAACAACUGCAGUUCACUUAUGUAAAAGACUACAACCCACAUAUGCAAAAAGAACUGCAGUUCACUUAUGUAAAAAGACUGAAGGUCACACAUGUAAAGCUAUGCUGCUCACAUAUGUAAAAAGACUACAACCCACAUAUGCAAAAAGAACCGCAGUUCACUUCUGUCAAGGACUGAAGCUCACACAUGUAAAACUGUGCAGCUCAGAUAUGUAAAAGAAAUGCAUAUGAGUGAACAGAACAGUGUACGUCAAGCUUAUAACAACAACAAAAAAUUAGAUUACAACCCACUAACAGAAAAAGUAACUACACCAAACCUUAUCAGCUACGGCAUCCAGAGGGGAUGACGCAUCAGCCAAGUCAACAUCCUUCUCAGAGCCGUCGUAGGGAUCUUUGUGCACAUCACAAGCAGCAACUCCAGUCUACGGGCAUAGAACAAAGCAAAACGAAAUAAGAUGGUAACGACCAAAAAAGGAAAAAAAAACUUCAACCAUGCACAAGCAGUACACAUUUUAUAAUCGUGAGGUACACAGAAAAUAAAAUAAAAUGGAAAGAAAAAAUGCAGGUUCAAGAAGAGAAGCACAUGGCAGAACAGGCAUGGGAGAAGUACUUAUACCUAACCAAUUCCAGCGUCUCUAGAUCCGUGAACACCAGAAGAUUCGACUCUAGCCUAUGACAAAAAACAAAGAGUGAGGAGCAGUUCACGUAAUACAUGAAAGAGGUUCAAAAGGACAAAAAGCGGACAAUGUACAUUAUCAGCACUGGCGCUAGCGUCCCAUCGGUUCAUUUCAUCCAAAAUGUGCUCCGCAUCCUUCUCAUACCGAGCGCAUUUCUCUUCGUGUGAAUGUUUCAACUGAGCAUGCGAAGACCGAAUAUUCAUCACUACAAUCUUCAAGCUUUCAACCAUGCCAGAAUCAAAAUUGUGAGCAGCAACAAUAUCUUCUUCUUGGGGGCCAUGGCUACCGGGGAAAAACCAGCAAGUAUCCUCAACCCGUCACCAUAGGUUGGCAAAUCUUUAGUUAACUUCAAAACCUUCAGAAGAAGCUCAUCAACCUCCUCGUGUUUUUGCCGCCAACAAAUGUCUGUUCAAAAAAGCUUCUAUUAUCAAACAUCUGACGAUCCAUGAAACCAUGAGUAGGCGGCGACACAUUAUCAUAAGCAGGAAGCUGGCUACAAGUAGGCUCAUAGAAUCUAGCAUGACUGCCAGGCCCUGCAUCAGAGCUGCCGCACAGUACUGCAUCAGGACGGAUGUACACAAUAUCGCCUCACGCCUUCCACUUCAAAAAAGAUAAAAAGGGGAAACAGGUACACAUGUGAAUACUAGAAAGUUUAGAUUUAUAAUAAAUGCAAUUUUUUUAAAAACCCUAUGAUCUUAAAAACUCUGAUGCACUAACCGGCAGCCUCCUGAAUUUGUAAGUGUCCAGAUAAAAUUUUCCCUUUACAAGCAUAUCCUCGUUGUAUAACUUGAUCAGGUCCUUGUUCGUCAGGAAUGAUGCGCGUGGCAUCACUGUGUGCAUAAAUGAAAAUUUGCGAAGCUUCAAGCAAUCAAGAUACAUAAUCAGGGGGACAAUGGCACAACCCUCUACACUAUUCUGCUUGCUGCCUUCUAUCUGCCACUUCACCAUAGCUGCCUGCAGCUCUUCAACAACAAACUGACAAUAGUCCAUCUAUGCCAUAGCCGCAUAAUCUAUGUUCUCAACCAUGGCAGCAACCCUGCCCAAAUGAACUACAGGCCCGAGACACAACAAAUUCUGAUAAAGUAUCAGGAAGAAUACCUUGACGACAAGAUCAACCGUCAUAGGAUCAUCACCCUGCACCAACACCGCCUGCUUUUGAACCAAGUGCUUGACACAUAUACUUCAUGAAGGUUCAAAGCCAAGCUCAUCCUUGAGGGCAGAUAAUGAGCCAUCAUGGCCACUGGUAGCAGGCAUGGGUGUAGUGUGAGCUCCCAUAGGAAAAUCAAAAAUGUGAUGAACUGCAUCACGAUUGAUUCGAACAACUCUGCCAUUCCCAAAGUCCAUUGUCAUUGUGGCAGGGUCAAUCAAUCCCAUCGAAUUGCACAUAAGAAUGCGCAACACAUUUUUCUUUACUGUGAAGUCAAAGACAACACCAAAGCCAGCAACUUGAACACAAUUACAGUGUGCUUCUUUUAAUAAAGCAGCAGCUUUGUUCUACUUCUUGAGCUUGCGUUGGUUUUUCCCUUGAAGAGGAAAGGGUCAUGCAGCAAAGUAGAGAUAAAUAUUUCCCUCUAUCAUAGAACCAAGAUAUGAAUCCAGUACAAGGUCAAGCUAGUCCCCAAUCAAUGCACUUGCACAAAUAAUCAAACACUUGCACCCAACGCGAUAACGGGGUUGUCAAUCCCUUCACAGUCAAUUGCAAAGGUGAGAUCUGAUAUAGAUAGGUAAAACUAAAAUGUAACUAUUUUUUUGCGUUUUUUUGGUUUAUAGAUCCGUAAAUAAAAGAUUGCAAAAUAGUAGAUCAGAAAGAAAAUAUGAUGGAAAAUACACCCAGGGGCCAUAGGUUUCACUAGACACUUCUCUCAUGAAGGCAAAUAAUAUGGUCGGUAAACAAAUUACUGUCAAGCAAUUGAUAGAAAAGUGCAAAGUUGUGAUGAUAUUGAAGGCAAUGAUUAUGCAUAUAGGCAUCAUGUCCGUGUCAACUAGACCGACUCCUGCCUGCAUCUACUACUAUUACUCCACACAUCGACCGCUAUCCAACAUGCAUCUAGAGUAUUAAGUUCAUAAAGAAUGAAGUAAUGCCUUAAGUAAGAUGACAUGAUGUAGAGGGAUAAACUCAAGCAAUAUGAUGAAAACCCAUCUUUUUAUCCUCGAUGGCAACAAUACAAUACGUGCCUCGCUACCUCUAGUUUUUCACUGGGUGAGGAGACCGCAAGAUUGAACCCAAAAUUAAGCAGUCUCCCAUUGCAAGAAAUACCAAUCUAAUUGGCCAAACCAAACCGAUAAUUCGAAGUGAAAUACAAAGAUAUGAAAUCAUGCAUAUAAGAAUUUAAAGAAAAUUCAAAUAAUAUUCGUAGAUAAUCUGAUCAUAAAUCCACAAUUCAUCGUAUCUUGACAAACACACCGUAAAACAAGAUUACAUCGGAUAGAUCUCCAAGAUCAUCGAGGAGAGCAGGGUAUUGAGAAUCAAAGAGAGACAAGAAGCCAUCUAGCUACUAGCUAUGGGCCCAUAGGUCUGAGGUAAACUACUCACACUUCAUCGGAAGGGUAAUAGGAUUGAUGUAGAAGCCCUCUAUGAUUGGAUCCCCCUCCGGCAGAGUACGAGAAAAGGCCUCCAGAUGGGAUCUCACGAGGUUAGACACCUGCAGUGGCGGAAAAGUAUUUUCGUGGAUGCUUCUGAGUGUUUUGGAAUAUAUUUGAAUUUAUAGGACAAAGUAGGUCGGUGGACUCCCGAGGAGACCACAAGAUAGGGGCGCGCCCCCCUAGGGCAUGCCCCCCACGGCUCGUCGUCGCCUCGUGGGUCUUCUGACUUCAUCUCCAAGUCUCGUAGGUGUCUUUUGGUCCAAUAAAAAUCAUCACGAAAGGAGAUUGCAAAAUAGUAGAUCGGAAAGAAAAUAUGAUGGAAAAUACACCCAGGGGCCAUAGGUUUCACUAGACGCUUCUCUCAUGAAGGCAAAUAAUACGGUGGGUGAACAAAUUACUGUCAAGCAAUUGAUAGAAAAGCGCAAAGUUGUGAUGAUAUCCAAGGCAAUGAUUAUGCAUAUAGGCAUCAUGUCCGUGUCAAGUAGACCAACUCCUGCCUGCAUCUACUACUAUUACUCCACACAUCGACUGCUAUCCAACAUGCAUCUAGAGUAUUAAGUUCGUAAAGAAUGAAGUAAUGCCUUAAGUAAGAUGACAUGAUGUAGAGGGAUAAACUCAAUCAAUAUGAUGAAAACCCAUCUUUUUAUCCUCGAUGGCAAUAAUACAAUACGUUCCUCACUAUCCCUACUUUGUCACUGGGUGAGGACACCGCAAGAUUGAACCCAAAACUAAGCAGUUUCCCAUUGCAAGAAAUAGCAAUCUAAUUGGCCAAACCAAACGGAUAAUUGGAAGAGAAAUACAAAGAUAUGAAAUCAUGCAUAUAAGAAUUCAGAGAAAAUUCAAAUAAUAUUCGUAGAUAAUAUGAUCAUAAAUCCACAAUUCCUCAGAUCUCGACAAACACACCGCAAAAGAAGAUUACAUCGGAUAGAUCUCCAAGAUCAUCGAGGAGAGCAUGGUAUUGAUAAUCAAAGAGAGAGAAGAAGCCAUCUAGCUACUAGCUAUGGACCCAUAGGUCUGAGGUAAACUACUCACACUUCAUUGGAAGAGUAAUAGGAUUGAUGUAGAAGCCCUCCGUGAUUGAAUUCCCCUCCGACAGAUUACCAGAAAAGGCCUCCAGAUGGGAUCACACAAGGUCAUAGACCUGCAGUGGUGGAAAAGUAUUUUUGUGGAUGCUUCUAAGGGUUUUGGAAUAUAUGUGAAUUUAUAGGACAAAGAAGUAGGUCGGUGGACUCCCGAGGGGACCACAAGCUAGGGGCGCUCCCCUAGGGCGUGCCCCCACGGCUUGUCGUCGCCUCGUGGGUCUUCUGACUUCAUCUCCAAGUCUCGUAGGUGUCUUUUGGUCCAAGAAAAAUCAUCGGGAAAGUUUUAUUCCGUUUGGAAUCUGUUUGAUAUUCCUUUUUUGUGAAACUCAAAAACAAGGAAAAAACAGAAACUGCACUGGGCUCUAGGUUAAUAAGUUAGUCCUAAAAAUAAUAUAAAGUAGCAUAUUAAUGCAUGUAAACAUCCAAAACGGAUAAUAUAAUAGCAUGGAACAAUAAAUAAUUAUAUAUACGUUGGCGACGUAUCAAGCAUCCCCAAGCUUAAUUCUUGCUCGUCCUCGAGUAGGUAAAUGAUAAAAACAGAAUUUUUGAUGUGGAAUGCUACCUAACAUAUUUAUCCAUGCAAUCUCUUUUAGCUGACAUGAAAAUUCAGAAUCGUAUGAUUCAAAAGAAAAGUUCAUUGACACAAAAACAAUAAUACUUCAAGCAUACUAAAAGCAAAUCAUUAAGCUUCAAAAAUAACAUGGCUAAAGAAAGUUAUCCCUACAAUAUGAUAUAUUCUUGUUAUGCUCCCUCUUCUCAGCACAAAGUAUAAAUCAUGCCCACCCUGGUGUCAGCCAAGCAAUUAUUUCAUACUUUUUAAUGCGCUUCAGCCUUUUCAGCUCUUCACGCAAUACAUGAGCAUGAGCCAUGGACAUAGCACUAUGGGUGGAGUAGAAGGUGGUAGUAGACAAAAUAAGGGAGAAAGUCUCACAUCAACUAGGAAAAUCAAUGGACUAUGGAGAUGUCCAUCAAUUGAUAUCAAUGUGAGUGUGUAGGGAUUGCCAUGUAACGGAUGGACUAGAUCUAUAAGUGUAUGAAACACUACAAAAAAAUACACUUCUGUGAUGAUACGUGUUUGUCACAGUAGGUCGCGUUUUUUGUCAUGCAUGUCCAUCCAUGACAAAUUUAUGACAGAAUCAAGAUAGUCAUACCUGUGCUGUCGUAGAAGUGUUCCAUGACAUUACCAAAAUUAUCAUCACGGAAGUGUCCACUUCCAUGACGAUAAAUCGCGCGUCACAGAACUGCUUUCGUCCAGGGUGACCGACACGUGGCAUCCACCGUAAGGGAACGUCGUUAAGCUAUCGGGUCGGGUUUUGGAUCCGAUAACCCGUUAACAGCCCCGACCAAUGGGGAUUUUCCAUGUGUAAAAUCAUCAUUGGCUGGAGCAAACACGUGUCGGCUCAUCGUUGGGAAAGAUGUCAUCCGCUCAUUGGACCGAAGGCGCCUAUGAUACGGCGACACGUGGCAUGGCCCAAUAGAGGCCCAUUCCGGUGAAAAGGCCAGCCCAUUUGAAUUGGUCAAAAGGUGGCGGGCCGGCCCAUGGAAAGCCUGUUAACGGCCUGUUCGCUUAUAGUCCAUUUACAGCCCGUUAACCGAGGGCCCGUUAUACCCUAUCCGAAUUAGGCCCAGUAGCGUCAUCUGGGCCAUCCAAUAUGAUUCAACCUGUUUUAACUUCCAGCCCAUGUGUGACCCAUGACUUCUUUCGGCCCAUAUGAGGACCUUUGUAACUCUUGGCCCAUUAACGGCCCGUGCUGAAACUGGCCCGUAAUGAACAGUGUAUCACUUUAUACCCAUUAACAGCCCGUUAUUCCAUCGGGCCGUUUCUAGCCCAAGUUAUCUUUCGGCCUUCUCAGGGCCCAUUGAUUCUUGGGCUCAUUUGCAGCAUUCGGUUACAUACGACCCGUUACUAUCAUUUUCUGCUUGUGGGCCAAAUUCAGCCUGUCGUUACAGUCAGCCCGUUUGCGGACCGUUAAUACGUUGGGCCGUUUUCAUGUCAAAAAAACCAUUGGGCUGUUUUCAUAGAGUUAUCAAAUACGGCCUAUUAACGGCCCAUUAUGGUCCACGAAUAGUACGGCCCGUGAUUGGCGAAAUGAUGAUACGCCCCGUGGAAGGCCCAUGGAUCCUACGGCCCGUAUGAGGCCCAUGGAUAGUACAGCCCGUAGAAGGCCCAUGGACCCUACGGCCUGUAGAAGGCCCAUUGAUCCCUAAGGCCCGUAUAGAAGGCCGAUGGAUCCUACGGCUCGUAUAGAAGGCCAAUGGUCCUACGGCCGAACGAAGGCCCAUGGAUCAUAUGGCCUGCAGGAGGCCCAUGGUUACAACAGUCCGUGUGUUGCCAUGAUUAUUUUGGCCUAGUUACAAAAAAUAGGCAAUUGUGGCCACUAGAAAAACACAGAAAAAGAACUGCAGUGACUACAAGAAAACAACUAAACAAGACAAUAAGGAAAUAAAUAAGCAAGCAAUUAAGGCUAGCCUAUUACCGCUAUUACACAUACUACAUCCACUGGGCAUCAAAGUUCGCCACCAGUGCAAAUAUAGGGAACAAAGCAGCAUAUUACAUACACUUGGCCAUCAAAAAUGGCCACCAGUGCAAAUAAACGCGAUAGCAAAACAAGAGCAUAACUGAAACAACUUCAGAAGAGCUCAAGAAACGUUAUCCUAGGCAUCCACCAUGCUGGCAAUAAGCUUAGCAAGUUGAUUAGCUUUGUCCUGUUUGGCGCUAAAAUCCUCCAACGCUUGCUGUUGCACCAGAAAGUAUGCAUCUGAAUGCUCCAGGGACUUCCGCAGUCCUUCCGCUUCUUGUCGCAGCACAGCUGAUCGAUGUCUUUCAACUUGUAGUUGAGACUCAAGAAACCGAACUGAUUCAGACAGUGAGUUUGAAUAGCUUGUGCAUGCGGUAGUGGCCAGUAACUCGAACACUAAACCAAGACAUGACUUUGGGGUUGUCUCGCUGUCUUCAAGAUAGUCUUCCGUAGCUGUUUUAUCAGCUUUGUUGGAGACCAACAAGGAUGUGUCACUAUCCUGAACCUUAUCUGCAUUACUUCCUUUACCAUUGCUUAAUAAGGCACUCUUCCCCAAUAUUCUGUCAGCAUUCUAAAAGAAGAAACAAGCAGACACAUAAGAAGUUUAGCAUGUACUAGUAUAUGAAACUCAUUUCGGUGAACUAGUUCAUUAGUAUGGUGGACAGGAUUAAACUACCAAGUCUUCUAUUGUCAAGUACUAGUACAUAAUAAAAGCAUCAAACAAACAUAUAUCUAUGUCCUAUGGUCACUGCAUUGUCUUGCCAAAUCAAAAUAGAGACACGGUUCAAAUCAUACCAGUUCAAGACAAAGCAGCAGUGAAAGAAUACAAAGCGUGGGAAACUACACGGCACAACAAGAUUUCAGAUGGGUACCACGGGUCUACAUGUACAACAACACUAUUGGCUCUGUUGUGAUGCUAGUAAUGUGCAUGAUUUGAAAGUCAACUGUAUACAUAAUUGAAAUUGAAAUCAACAGAGCUAUUGGUAAGAGCAAACCUGUUAAAGAAACAUGCGUGCACAUACUUGCUGUGCCAUUGGAGUUUCGAUUGGAUCCUUCAAUUUAAAAAUAAGUUCGUAUCAGUAAAUACAGUGAUACAAGAGCAAAGCAAUCAUAGUUAAAAAAAAGGCGCGCCUAAGCGAGCGCUUAAGCGCGCCUAGGCUCUAGGCGUUGGCAAUACACAUUGCGCAUAACUACACAUAAUCUGUGCAUAACUGCGCAUAAGCAUGCGCUUUGGUCAGUAAAGCGCAAGGCGGUGGCAAAACGCACAAUUAACGCCUAGCGCUUUUUUGAACUAUGAUAGCAAUGGAAUCUUAAAUUAGAACAGUUGUUCUUCAGGUUUAGGUACUUGUUCUACAUGAACAGUGUACAGUAAGACGCGAGAAUAAAAUACUUCAAAAUAGAAAAUGAUCUCAUAGACCUUACCACAUUCUUGGUUCGGGACCAGUACAGAACAAGGCGUUCCCAGUCAUUGUCCAGUAAAUGUGUCUCAGGAGAACGUAAGGGAAUUUGAUGAGUUUCUUUGCCUGUGAAGUACGUUUUCUUCAGGUAAUUCCGAUACUGCCACCAAGCAUUCUUGAAGAUAGCAGAGGUAUUAGCACAGGUUACCUCAUCCUGAGUUUCCAAAUCGGUCCUUCUCUAUAGAGAAAAAUGGGAAAAUUUGCUGUAUUAUAACCAUCAUGGAGGUAGGAUGUAUGGGACGAAGCAAAGUAAUUGCCAUGAAUAACAUUACUUACACAUAACUCCUGGACAAACACCUGCAACUGGCAUUUUCCUUCAUCUUCAGUAUAAUAUUUCCAAGAUGGGAAGAUACGCACAUACGAUUUAACAACAUCAAAUGCGAUAGAUGCUAAACGACGACUGGCUGGUUGUGCUUCCUCCACAGGAAUAGGCGUACUAACUGGUGGAGUUGGGGUUCACCGUGAUAGUACUGGCCCUUUGGGCACUGGAGCUGCCGUACUAACUGCUGUUGUUUGGGAGCUCUGUGGUGGAGAUGGUGUUGUGUCAACAGGAACUGGGUUACUAUCGGCUGGGGUUGGGGUUAGAUUGGGUGAACCUGGUUCUCUGUCCAUCGCAGUAGGGGUACAAUCUGCGAGAGUUUGGGUUAUGUGUGGUAGGGCUGGUUCUUGUGCAUGUACAACUGGGGUGCUAUCUCCACCAAGAGGUAGCACUGUUUUAUUUAAAGACCGUGUUUUUAUUUAAGUAAUCAGGAUUGCAUCAUUUAAUUCACAUAUGUGAUUUAUAUGCUAAACAGAGGGCAUUCAAUAUGAUGUCUGAACUAAGAACAUGGUGUUGAAUAUUGUGUAUAUGAUGUCUAAACUAUGCAAUGCAAGACACCAUAUGCAUGAUAUGAGCAGUAUAACCGUGCCAAGUUAGAGCAUACACCUCAGCGGGGGAAUAGGACUGGUCAUCUGUCUCUGAAUCCAUCUCUGAGGAGCUAUCGGGACCCAACAAGAGAUCUGCUUCGACAGGUAGCACUGUCUGCUCUGAAGGCCUUGUUUUCACUCCAGAUUUUUCCAUCUCCCACCCAAAUGGCUGAUUCACAGGAAGAGUAGUUUAAUGUACAAACAUUUUCGACAAAUGGAAAUGUAAUGAAGAAAAGGAUGGGCAAGAUAUCAUUCAAAUAUAUGAUGCCUGGUUAAACAGGAUGGCAUUGCACAUUUCACAUAUAUUAUGGCUGGCUAAAAGACAUGAGACUGCAUAAUUCCCAUAUAUGAUAUAGAAACUAAACAGGUGGCAUUACAGAACAUGUCUAAAUUAAGCAUAUGACAUAUAUGAUGUCAAAAGUAGGCACUGCAAGGCAACAUAUGCAUGAUAUGACUAACAUCAUCAUGCCAAGGUAGAGCAAACACCUUGGGGGUAAAGAGGAGUGGUUAGCGGCGUCUGAAUAUGCCUCAGAACAGAUAUCUUCCUCUGGAUUACAAUCUGGAGAGGGGUAGGGACGGUUUGCCAUUGAACCCACCAUGGAGCGAUGUCUGCAUGACAUUGUAUUGCCGCGCAAUACUCUUCUCUUUUUCUCUACAUGUUCAGCAUGACUGUGUGAAAUAUCUGACAUGCAUACAAAAAAAAUAUGAUGAGGUUAUGUAAGGAGAGCAUGCAGAAAUUUAGAGUGAUGGUAACAACCAGUGGAUCGACGUUUUUCCGUUGAACCAAAAUAGCCCUAAUGGAUCGACGUGAAUGUAUAGUAAUAAGUGACGCAACAAGUGUACAACCUCUUUGUCGUAGCCAUGUCGACCUCAGCAUCAUUGGGUUGGUCGCUAAAGCAGUUGAGGCAGAGGUGGCUGUCGGAGGUGUGGAGGAAGAUCUGAGGAAUCUGUAGACGGCGUCCAGGGCACUGCUCUGUUGUGAUGGAUCGUUCUGUUGUUGGAGCAGCUCCGGUGAGCCCUAAGACGUCAAGGAUGAAGCAGCACAAGACAUACAUCGUCAAUCUCAAGUGGGAUUCUAAUAGCAUCUCCAAUAGAUGAUGAAAAAUGGAUGUAAAAUUAACAUCACCAAAAACCACCUAACUACAACAGAUGAGGUAAAAACUGUUAACUCUGAACUUAACUGUCGAAACUGAAAUUAACUGUGGAAUCUGAAUGCUACUGUCGAAACUGAAUGCAAUGGUAGAAGAGAGACA
rnacentral:lncRNA from 1 species